rnacentral:rRNA from 1 species
GCUAGCGGCGGGCUUAAUACAUGCAAGUUAGGGGGGCAGCAAUGCUCACCGGCGUACGGGUGCGUAACACGUAUAUAACAUACCCUUUAGGGGAGGAUACAUCGAGGAAAUUCGGGAUAAAACUCCGUAAGCUAAUGGUAGGGCAUCCUACUAUUAGGAAAAUUUCUAAAGGAUUGGUAUGCGUCUGAUUAGCUAGUUGGCGAGGUAACGGCUCACCAAGGCGACGAUCAGUAGCUGGUCUUAGAGGAUGAUCAGCCACACUGGCACUGAGACACGGGCCAGACUCCUACGGGAGGCAGCAGUAGGGAAUAUUGGUCAAUGGACGCAAGUCUGAACCAGCCACGCCGCGUGCAGGAAGAAGGUUCUUUGGAUCGUAAACUGCUUUUAUCAAGGGAUAAAGAGAGGCUAUACGCCUAAAUGAAGGUACUUGAUGAAUAAGCCACGGCUAACUACGUGCCAGCAGCCGCGGUAAUACGUAGGUGGCAAGCGUUGUCCGGAUUUACUGGGUUUAAAGGGUGCGUAGGCGGUUUAAUAAGUCAGUCGUUAAAGACACAAGCUUAACUUGGGCGUGGCGAUUGAUACUGUUAGACUUGAAUAAUUUGGAGGUAGCUGGAAUGCGUAGUGUAGCGGUGAAAUGCUCAGAUAUUACGCAGAACACCGAUUGCGGAGGCAGGUUACUACGAAUUUAUUGACGCUGAGGCACGAAAGUGUGGGUAGCAAACAGGAUUAGAUACCCUGGUAGUCCACACUGUAAACGAUGAUAACUAGAUGUUCGGCAGCAAUGCUGAGUGUUCAAGCGAAAGCGAUAAGUUAUCCACCUGGGGAGUACGACCGCAAGGUUGAAACUCAAAGGAAUUGACGGGGGCCCGCACAAGUGGUGGAGCAUGUGGUUUAAUUCGAUGAUACGCGAGGAACCUUACCUAGGCUAGAAUGUGAGUGAAUUGACUUGAAAGGGUCAAGUCCUUCGGGACACGAAACAAGGUGCUGCAUGGUUGUCGUCAGCUCGUGCCGUGAGGUGUUGGGUUAAGUCCCGCAACGAGCGCAACCCCUAUCUUUAGUUGCCAACAGGUCAAGCUGGGGACUCUAAAGAGACUGCCUUCGCAAGGAGCGAGGAAGGUGGGGAUGACGUCAAAUCAUCAUGGCCCUUACGCCUAGGGCUACACACGUGCUACAAUGGACGGUACAGAGGGUUGCUAACCAGCGAUGGCAUGCCAAUCUCAAAAAGCCGUUCUCAGUUCGGAUUGGAGUCUGCAACUCGACUCCAUGAAGCUGGAAUCACUAGUAAUCGCGGAUCAGCGAUGCCGCGGUGAAUACGUUCCCGGGCCUUGUACACACCGCCCGUCAAGCCAUGAAAGCUGGGGGUACCUGAAGUCGGUAUUCGCAAGAAGCCGCCUAGGGUAAAACUGGUAAUUAGGGCUAAGUCGUAACAAGGUA